AGGAUUAGUAAGUAAUGUUUCAACAUCUACAUUUAGCUCACACAGAGACAUGGCACUUUCCAAGAUCUCCACCACUUGGGUCAAACUAGAAUGGACCUUUUCACCUCACACAAAAUGUUUCCAGGAUACUGUGGGUUUCUUUUGGAAUCUCCAUCAGGCCUGAAUAACUCUUAAUUACAGUGUUACAGAACAAUGCUGUCAGAUUUACAUACGUACAUUCUUAUAAACAUACAUUACAAAUCUUAUAGAGCUAUUUAUUUACAACCAUCCAUAUUAUACUGAUCACCCUAUGAAUGUUAUGAGACCAUCUAUGAUAGUGACAUCAUAAAUAAAACAAAACAUUAGGUGGGGGAUGCAUGUCUCCUACCAGGAAUAUUUCUUCAAAGAAGUGGUGGG